UACGUAGGGUGCAAGCGUUAAUCGGAAUUACUGGGCGUAAAGCUUGCGCAGGCGGUUAUGUAAGACAGUUGUGAAAUCCCCGGGCUCAACCUGGGAACUGCAUUUGUGACUGCAUCGCUGGAGUGCGGCAGAGGGGGAUGGAAUUCCGCGUGUAGCAGUGAAAUGCGUAGAUAUGCGGAGGAACACCGAUGGCGAAGGCAAUCCCCUGGGCCUGCACUGACGCUCAUGCACGAAAGCGUGGGGAGCAAACAGG
rnacentral:rRNA from 1 species